UACGUAGGUGGCAAGCGUUGUCCGGAUUUAUUGGGUUUAAAGGGUGCGUAGGCGGCCCCGUAAGUCAGUGCUGAAAUAUCCCGGCUUAACCGGGAGGGUGGCAUUGAUACUGCAGGGCUUGAGUAAAGUUGAGGUAGGCGGAAUUCCAGGUGUAGCGGUGAAAUGCGCAGAUAUCAGGAGGAACACCGAUUGCGAAGGCAGCUCGCUGGGACGUUACUGACGCUGAUACGCGAAAGCGUGGGGAGCAAACAGG
rnacentral:rRNA from 1 species